rnacentral:rRNA from 1 species
GUGUCAGCAGCCGCGGUAAGACGUAGGGCGCGAGCGUUGUCCGGAUUUAUUGGGCGUAAAGAGCUCGUAGGCGGCUUGUCGCGUCGUCCGUGAAAACCUGCAGCUCAACUGCAGGCUUGCGGGCGAUACGGGCAGGCUAGAGUUCGGUAGGGGAGACUGGAAUUCCUGGUGUAGCGGUGAAAUGCGCAGAUAUCAGGAGGAACACCGGUGGCGAAGGCGGGUCUCUGGGCCGAUACUGACGCUGAGGAGCGAAAGCGUGGGGAGCGAACAGGAUUAGAAACCCCCGUAGUCC